CGGGUUUCUUGCCUUUUGCAUCAUGCUUAUUGGAUUUUUUUAACUAAUUGUUUUAUACUGAAAAGUUUUGAUCUCGUAUUUGAUUGUUUUGAACUUAGAUUUUUUUAGGUUAAAUUAUUUAAAUUUGAUGCGUGAAGUGAUAAAUUAUUCGUAUAACUUUAUA
rnacentral:rRNA from 1 species